rnacentral:rRNA from 1 species
UACGUAGGGUGCGAGCGUUGUUCGGAAUUAUUGGGCGUAAAGAGCUUGUAGGCGGUCUGUCGCGUCUGCUGUGAAAAUCCGGGGCUCAACCUCGGACUUGCAGUGGGUACGGGCAGACUAGAGUGUGGUAGGGGAGACUGGAAUUCCUGGUGUAGCGGUGAAAUGCGCAGAUAUCAGGAGGAACACCGAUGGCGAAGGCAGGUCUCUGGGCCACUACUGACGCUGAGAAGCGAAAGCAUGGGGAGCGAACAGG